rnacentral:rRNA from 1 species
AUUGAACGCUGGCGGCAUGCCUUACACAUGCAAGUCGAACGGUAGAGUGGCAACCCUCGAGAGUGGCGAACGGGUGAGUAAUGCAUCGGAACGUGCCCAGUCGUGGGGGAUAACACUUCGAAAGAAGUGCUAAUACCGCAUACGACCUGAUGGUGAAAGCGGGGGAACGCAAGGCCUCGCGCGAUCGGAUCCGACGAUGUCAGAUUAGGUAGUUGGUGGGGUAAAGGCACACCAAGCCGACGAUCUGUAGCUGGUCUGAGAGGACGACCAGCCACACUGGGACCGAGACACGGCCCAGACUCCUACGGGAGGCAGCAGUGGGGAAUUUUGGACAAUGGGCGCAAGCCUGAUCCAGCCAUGCCGCGUGCGGGAAGAAGGCCUUCGGGUUGUAAACCGCUUUUGUCAGGGAAGAAACGCUCCGGGCUAAUACCCUGGGGUAAUGACGGUACCUGAAGAAUAAGCACCGGCUAACUACGUGCCAGCCGCCGCAGUAAGAC